GGGAGUAUAGCUCAAUGGUAGAGCAUGUGCUCAGCAUGUGCAAAGUCCUGGAUUUAAUUUCCAGAACCUCCA
rnacentral:tRNA from 1 species